GAAAUGAAGGAAACAUGUUUGACACCGUGGUGCCCUUGGGACCAAGAGGCCACUGUGACACUGUUGGGCUAAGGAGAGCAUUGCUGCCCUGCCAGACCUCAUGGAACCAAGGAUCCAUUGUGACACCGCAGGGGUUUGGGGACCACGCUGACAUUGUGACACUGCAGAGCCCAGGGAUCCAAGGGACUUUGUGACACUAAGGGGUCCCAUGGAACCAGAGGGACAUUGUGACACUGGGAGGCCUCAUGGAAUCAUGGAGACCACUGGGACACUCUCGGGCCUCAUGGAACCAUGGUGACACCAAGUUGUUUGGGAAUGUUGAUCUGCUGGAGUGCAGGAGGGCUCUGUACAGGGCCCUGGACAGGCUGGAUCCAGGGCCCAAAUCCAACAAGGUGAGGUUUAACAAGCCCAAGUGCCAACUCCUGCACUUUGGCCACAACAACCCCUGCAGUGGUACAGGCUGGGGCAGAGGGGCUGGACAGCAGCCAGGCAGAAAGGGACCUGCAGGGACUGAUGGACAGCAGGCUGGACAUGAGCCAGCAGUGUGCCCAGGUGGCCAAGAAGGCCAGUGGCUCCUGGCCUGGAUAAGGAAUGGUGUGGCCAGCAGGACUGGGGCAGUGAUUCUUCCCCUGUGCUGGGCACUGCUUGGGCAGCACCUUGACUGCUGUGUCCAGUUCUGGGCCCCCAAUUCAGGAAGGACAUGGAGGGGCUGGAGCAUGUCCAGAGAAGGGCAACAAGGCUGAUGAGGGGUCUGGAACACAAGUCCUGUAGCAGUGGCUGACAGAGCUGGGGUUGUUGAUCCUGGGAAGAGGAGGCUCAGGGGAGACAAGGCGGUGUCAGAGCACAUGUUGGACUUGAUGAGCUCCAAGGUUUUUUCCAGCCUUGCUGAUUCUGUGGAUCUUGGAAACCACCCUUGGGGCAGUUGCAGGAGGAGCCCUGGGCCUCCUCUUCAGAAGCUCCAGCAGCCCAGGUCCCUCAGCUUCUCCUCACAGCCCCAAAGCCCAUCCUGUCAGUCCUGCAGAGCCUCUCCAGCUCCUCCUCACUGCCCAGAACAGGGAAACAGGGAGCCCCACAGCCAGACACGGCAGUCCAGAUGUGCCCCCCUGGCCUGGGGUGUCUCUGGCAAGAAAGCAGCACCAGACACUGCAGGAGCCUGCAGACAAUUCCUGCAGCACUUGUGGAAUGAUCCUGCUCCCCAAGGGCCGUUCCCAUGGUGCCAAGUCAGGAACUGCAAUGGGGAGUGGGGCCAGAGAGGAAAGGGCAAACAGGGCUGUGUGCAGGGAAGGGAACAGGAGUGGGCAAGAAGAAUAAAUUUGUAGCAGGAAGAGUAAAGAAAGCAAAGAUGAAGCCAAGGCAUUGCUCAGGGAAGUUUGGGGGUGGCUGCCAGGCCACCUGGCUCUGAGCAGCAGCGUCUGCAGUGGGACAGGAAACUCCCAGCUGAUGGGAACAAACUUUCUGGCUGACUGCAGAGGCAAGGACAAAGCUGAGUGGUUUCCCUGGCGUCCCCCAGCCCUUCCUGGCCUCAGGGGCUGAUGGCAUUUGUGCUCCCUCAGGUUCAUGUCCCCACAGCACAAGCAUGGGGGUGCUCCCGCCUGCUGUGUGCAAUGCAAACAGGGGCUGCUGAGCCAGUGCUGCCGUGUCUGUGCCUGCAAGGAUGUGGCACCUCUGUGAGCUGGGGGAGAGGCCAGGGCUGCAGAGGGGGGAUGUUGUUGGCAGCUCCAUGAGGACGCUCUGGGACGCUGCCCUGGGCUGUCCAGCACACUGGGGAUGGAUCAGUCCCUGCUCUGCUGCUCCUUCCCGUCUCCCCAGGGCCCUUGCAGAGCACCAGCCGUGCUGUUUGCCCCCAGCCUGCCCACGGCCAGCCUGGGGCUGCUCACGGGGGUUUUCUGUGCGUAGCAUUGGCCUGGCCAUGUUCUUGAGAGAGCCUGGGCAAGGAGCCUGGAGCCCCCAGGCCCUGGCCUGAGGCGUCAGCGCUGCCCCAGCAGUGCCCAUGGCCUGUCCCUGCUGCAGCCCCGGCACUGCCAGCCCCAGGACUGUGCUCGGCCCCGAGAGCACUCAGGCCCUGCAGCAACACCAGGGCCACCAGGGCAGCGGGGCAGGGCCACGGGAGCAGCACUGGCAACACCAAGUGCUGCUGCUCCUGGGCACAGCUGCUGUGCCAGCACUGAUCUGCCCCAGCUCUGCACACAGACAUUGCUGCUGCAGCUCCAGAGAAGACAACAAAAGUGCAUCUCUGCAGAAAACUCUGCUGGGACAUCCUUUAGUUCCUUUAAAGCCUUUAAAGUGCAGCCCCUACAUUGACACAGUCUGUGGGCACAAGGAAGGUGGAGAGAAAAAAAAUGAGAAGUGGAGCAAACAAUGACCUUUCCUUGUGCACAAUAUGGAAAAAGUAAAAUAAAUAAAAAAGAACCUCCCAAAUUAAAA
ensembl:lncRNA